GGAAGCAAAUUGCCAGAAUCGCGGAAGCAAGAAGAGGAGAGAGGGACAUUUGAUGAAGGAGGAAGUGAGGACUGUGUGAGCAAGAAAGGCCUUGGAUAUGGUUGAAGAGCACGACUGGGAGAGAAAAGUAGUGAAGAUUGGGGAAAAAAGGGAGAAAAAAGCAGAUAAAGAAGGAAAGAAAAUCAUGAAAGGAGGCUGCUUUAAAUGAAAAUAUUUUAUAAUAUCAUAAUGCAAUAUUUUCUUACCAAACAAUAUAGGACCAUUGUGUCAUUUUGUUUUUAAUUGCUAAAAGGAAGCUAAUACACUUCAUGAGGAUGGAUCCCAAGAAUUCAUUUGUCUUUUAUGGCUUCUUAGGUAGGGUCUCGGGGAGAAAAAGUUUCAUAUGUUAGAUCUUGAUCUGGUGGAUUGAGUUCCUUUGAAGC
rnacentral:lncRNA from 1 species